CCUACGGGGGGCAGCAGUGGGGAAUAUUGGAGAAUGGGGGCAACCCUGAUCCAGCCAUGCCGCGUGUGUGAAGAAGGCCCUCGGGUUGUAAAGCACUUUCAGUGAGGAAGAACGCCUGGUGGUUAAUACCCAUCAGGAAAGACAUCACUCACAGAAGAAGCACCGGCUAACUCCGUGCCAGCAGCCGCGGUAAUACGGAGGGUGCGAGCGUUAAUCGGAAUUACUGGGCGUAAAGCGCGCGUAGGUGGCUUGAUAAGCCGGUUGUGAAAGCCCCGGGCUCAACCUGGGAACGGCAUCCGGAACUGUCAAGCUAGAGUGCAGGAGAGGAAGGUAGAAUUCCCGGUGUAGCGGUGAAAUGCGUAGAGAUCGGGAGGAAUACCAGUGGCGAAGGCGGCCUUCUGGACUGACACUGACACUGAGGUGCGAAAGCGUGGGUAGCAAACAGGAUUAGAUACCCGGGUAGUC
rnacentral:rRNA from 1 species